GUUCUGUUGUCUUUAUAAAGGAAGCCGCCCGGGUUCUCCCAGCACAGAGUCGGGAGCAAUUCCAGAGCUUCCUCCAAGAUGCUGCUGGUUGUGCUCUCAGUGGCCUUGCUGGCCCUGAGCUCAGCUCACCGCCCAAAUUAUGAUGAUUCCUAUGAAGUGUAUGCCGACCUUAUAUCAGAUGAAGAUAACUCAAGCCAGAGCCAAGAGCAAGAGCCUCAGAGACCACCUCCUGGAGGAAGACCACCUCCUGUAGGACGCCCACCUAGACCCCCUUCAGAGGAUGUAAACCUAGGGGAUGCUCCUGAGCAGCAACCACCCAGACCACAAGGCAAUCAAAAUCCUCCUCCCCCACCUCCUCCUGGAGGGCCCCAGGGACCACCACCCCCACCAGCAGGACCUCCACCUCCAGCCCCUCCUGCUGAUGGAGACCAACAGGAUGCUCCUGAGGAGAGAGGACCCCAAAGAGGAAGACGCCCAGAAAGAUCCCCUUCUAAGGAUGCUCCCCAGCAGCAACCACCCAGACCACAAGGCAAUCAAAAUCCUCCUCCCCCACCUCCUCCUGGAGGGCCCCAGGGACCACCACCCCCACCGGCAGGACCCCCACCUCCAGCCCCUCCUGCUGAUAGAGACCAACAGGAUGCUCCUGAGCAGAGAGGACCCCAAAGAGGAAGACAUCCAGUAAGAUCCCCUUCUAAGGAUGCUCCCCAGCAGCAACCACCCAGACCACAAGGCAAUCAAAAUCCUCCUCCCCCACCUCCUCCUGGAGGGCCCCAGGGACCACCACCCCCACCAGCAGGACCCCCACCUCCAGCCCCUCCUGCUGAUGGAGACCAACAGGAUGCUCCUGAGCAGAGAGGACCCCAAAGAGGAAGACAUCCAGGCCCCAGGGACCACCACCUCCAGGGGGCCAGCCACCCCAGUAAUAUGGAAUUCAAUGAUAGGUAUGAUUCUAUUUCACUCUCCAUCAAAGGCCCUAAUACCUACUGUUUCAAACUUCACUUUGCCAAUGAAUCAACUGGAAACAUGUUGAAAGUGCAUAGUCCUAGGGCCCAUUUCUAAAGCUUUCUCUCCAGAUAUUCUAAAAUAGGGUCAAGACUUUAUUUUUAACAAUCUGUUCAAGGUAAUUUCCAUUUUAAGAUACACUGCCAUAAGAGGCCUUUUUCCCCAAGAUUACCUGUCUUGAAAUGGGCUGGUAAUGAGGAAGUAGAGCAGUGCCCUCCCUUUGGUCCUCCCCUCUGCACCUCCCCAGGCUCACAGACUUCCCACCUCAAGUUUCAACUCAACCACCCUCGCUCAGUCCUGCCUCACAGCAGGCUUCCUGGGUCCACUGUCCCCGAUAAGUGAUACUUCAAUUUUGUACUGUUAAAACUUAUCUAGUUUCUUAAAUAUUUACUUUUAUAUUAGUAUAUGCUCAAGGUAAAAAAAAAUAAAAGUAACAGAACAGAAUGGUGUGAAAUUAAA
rnacentral:lncRNA from 1 species